AUUGAACGCUGGUGGCAGGCUUAACACAUGCAAGUCGAGCGGGGUGAGGUGCUUCGGUACUGAUCCUAGCGGCGGACGGGUGAGUAAUGCUUAGGAAUCUGCCAUUUAGUGGGGGACAACAUUCCGAAAGGGAUGCUAAUACCGCAUACGUCCUACGGGAGAAAGCAGGGGAUCUUCGGACCUUGCGCUAAAUGAGGAGCCUAAGUCGGAUUAGCUAGUUGGUGGGGUAAAGGCCUACCAAGGCGACGAUCUGUAUCGGGUCUGAGAGGAUGAUCCGCCACACUGGGACUGAGACACGGUCCAGACUCCUACGGGAGGCAGCAGUGGGGAAUAUUGGACAAUGGGCGGAAGCCUGAUCCAGCCAUGCCGCGUGUGUGAAGAAGGCCUUUUGGUUGUAAAGCACUUUAAGCGAGGAGGGGGCUACCUGGAUUAAUACUCUGGGAUAGUGGACGUUACUCGCAGAAUAAGCACCGGCUAACUCUGUGCCAGCCGCCGCGGUAACAC
rnacentral:rRNA from 1 species